AACCAAAUUUUUCAUAGAAUCCACACCCAGUGGUUACUCCAGCAACAUAAGAAUCUACAUUUGUAGAAGCACCCUAUUAUGAUGUACCCUAUUCACCAUAUCAACCUUCUUCUAGGACCUAUAGCCCAUUAUUUGAAGAGCAGGUUCAGCAAGCAUUAGAUAGGCUAGAACUCAACCAUCAAACCCUUCACUCCUAUAUGCAAUCUUUAGCCAAACUAGAAAUUCAAGUCGAUCAAUCAGUAAUCACAAUCAGUGGGAAGGAGAAAGGAGAGCUUCCUAGUCAACCUGAGAGUAAACCAGAGGGAUACUACCUAGCUAAAAGUUUUCAUGUCCCUAUAAAUUUUUCUGAACAAUCGAUUAUGACUCUUGAAAAUGAAAUGAUCGUAGAACAACCCUACACAACCAAAAUGAUCAACACAAAUAAUUUGACUAAGGCAGAAAUUUAUAUGGAGAAAUUAGACUAGUGGGAUGAACCAAUUCCAUCACCCUACUUACCUAUGACCCCCUUCCCAAGUGCCCUAGAAUCACCCACUCCUUUUUAUAGGAAGGAUAGAUAAAUAGGUGAAAUGCUGGAAUUAGUUGAGACUUCUCAAGAACCACAAAUGGAUAACACUAUAGGGGAAGCUGCACCCAUAAUUCUUUCCUAAGACUCAUUAGAUCCCU
rnacentral:lncRNA from 1 species